AACGCACAUUGCGCCCGCUGGUAUUCCGGCGGGCAUGCCCGUUCGAGCGUCAUUUCAACCCCUUCCCGGGAGACUCUGUUAUUUGCUGGGUCUCGCGGGGCGUUGGCACUGGGCGCCUUUUUUUUAGGUGGCCGGAGCUCAAAUUUAGUGGCGGACGCGUGGCGGCCCCUAGCGAAUUAGAAUAACCUUCUCGCUCGGGAGGCUCGCGACGGCGGACCACAGCCCAACGCAAGCUUUAAAAAACUUGCAACUAAAUAACGAACUUGACCUCGGAUCGGGUAGGACUACCCGCUGAACUUAA
rnacentral:misc_RNA from 1 species